GACGAACGCUGGCGGCGUGCCUAAUACAUGCAAGUCGAGCGGACCAAACAGGAGCUUGCUCUUGUUUGGUUAGCGGCGGACGGGUGAGUAACACGUGGGUAACCUGCCCGUAAGACCGGGAUAACUCCGGGAAACCGGAGCUAAUACCGGAUAACACCGAAGACCGCAUGGUCUUUGGUUGAAAGGCGGCUUCGGCUGCCACUUACGGGUGUGCCCGCGGCGCAUUAGCUAGUUGGUGAGGUAACGGCUCACCAAGGCGACGAUGCUUAGCCGGCCUGAGAGGGUGACCGGCCACACUGGGACUGAGACAGGGCCCAGAAUCCUACGGGAGGCAGCAGUAGGGAAUCUUCCGCAAUGGGCGAAAGUCUGACGGAGCGACGCCGCGUGAGCGAAGAAGGUCUUCGGAUCGUAAAGCUCGGUUGUUAGGGAAGAAGAAGCGCCGUUCGAACAGGGCGGCGCGGUGACGGUACCUAACGAGAAAGCCCCGGCUAACUACGUG
rnacentral:rRNA from 1 species